AAAAAAAAAAGACAUGAAGUAAAUAUAAAUGCAAACAAAAUGUAGUAGAGGUGAUAGCUUCUUAAUUUAUUGAAUGUUUACAUACGUCCACAGCUUUUGUGUCCUUCAGUGAAAUGUACAAAUGUUUUUUAUUUUUGUUCUACAUAGUAAUAUAUCACCAUUUUCACAGCCACCAAGAAGAGGAGAGUGAAGCACAAGCAGGCCCAUCAGGAGUUUUCACACCUCCAACAGUACCUGCAGCAGUCACCCCUCCCCUACCCUUGCCUGCAAGAGAGGUGUCACCACUUGAAACAAGGUUUGUGUCCUGAUCAUUUGUGUAGUUUUGGUCUCUAAAAGAAAUAAUACACUCUUUACUGCUUCAAUUAUGUAUUUAUAUGUGUUAUUCUUUGUAGAAAUUGAUGUGAAUCAUCAGUCUUCUCAAUAUGUUUCUUUCAACAUCUGUACUCCUUCUUUCAUGCAACAGUGAGGAGGGAGAAGAAUAUGAAGAAUAUGUGCCACCACAGCGCAGAUCCUCUUUAUCUUCAAGUUCUGGGCCCUCUUCCCCUGACCCCAAGAGAGCUCGUAGCCGUGGUCGUGGUUGUGGCCUUGGCCGUGGAGGGCAAGCCAGCAAGCGGCCAAGACCGGCUCCUGUACACCCGGAG